rnacentral:rRNA from 1 species
AACUCACCAGGUCAGGACACGGUAAGGAUUGACGACUGAAGGCUUCUUUCUCGAUUCCGUGGAAAGUGGUGCAUGGCCGUUUUUGGUUGGUGGAUCGAUCCGUCUGGUUAAUUCCGUUAACGAACGAGACCUCGGCACUCCGAAUAGCGCGGCGGACGUCGCGGCCUCCGGGCCGUCUUCCGCACGAGCUUCUUAGAGGGACCGUCCCCCGCCGGGGAAGGAGGUGCGAGGCAACGACAGGUCUGUGAUGCCCUUAGAUGUUCUGGGCCGCACGCGCAUUACACUGACGCGUCCAACGGGUGACUCCCGACCCGAAGGGGCCGGGGAAUCCGCAAGGCGCGUCGUGAUGGGGAUUGAACGUUGCAAUUGUUGUUCACGAACGAGGAAUUCCUAGUAGGCGCGGGUCAUCAACCCGCGCCGAUUACGUCCCUGCCCUUUGUACACACCAC